rnacentral:rRNA from 1 species
UACGUAGGGUGCGAGCGUUGUCCGGAAUUAUUGGGCGUAAAGAGCUUGUAGGCGGUUUGUCGCGUCUGCUGUGAAAAUCCGGGGCUCAACCCCGGACUUGCAGUGGGUACGGGCAGACUAGAGUGUGGUAGGGGAGACUGGAAUUCUGGUGUAGCGGUGGAAUGCGCAGAUAUCAGGAGGAACACCGAUGGCGAAGGCAGGUCUCUGGGCCACUACUGACGCUGAGAAGCGAAAGCAUGGGGAGCGAACAGG